AUGCGUAGGGGCCGAGCGUUGUCCGGAAUUACUGGGCGUAAAGGGCGGGCAGGGGGACGAUUAAGUCCGCUGUAAAUGGCAUGACCUCAACACAUGAAUGCGAUUGCAACUGGUUAUCUACAGUGCUGGAUAGGUACGAGCAUUUCCAGGGGUAGAGGUGAAAUGCGUAGAUAUCGGGAAGAACACCAGUGGCGAAGGCGGCUUACUGGCCAGCAACUGACGCUGAGGCGCGAAAGCCAGGGGAGCGAACGGGAUUAGAUACCCCGGUAGUCCUGGCCGUAAACGAUGAAUGCUAGGUGUGGGUGUCGAGAGGCAUCCGUGCCGGAGUUAACGCGAUAAGCAUUCCGCCUGGGGAGUACGAUCGCAAGAUUGAAACUCAAAUGAAUUGACGGGG
rnacentral:rRNA from 1 species